rnacentral:rRNA from 1 species
UACGAAAGGUGCAAGCAGUUGUUCGGAAUCACUGGGCGGUAAAGCGCACGGUAGGACGGGUUCGUGUGUCGAUUUGUGAAAGGCCCCGGGCUCAACUGGGGAUGGGUACACCGCGAUGACGUGAUCGACUCGAAGGCAGGAGAGGGUAGUGGAAUUCCCGGUGUAGUGGUGAAAUGCGUAGAUAUCGGGAGGAACACCAGUGGCGAAGGCGGCAUCCUGGACCAAUAUUGACGCUGAGGAGCGAAAGCCAGGGGAGCAAACGGG